CCAAUAGCGUAUAUUAAAGUUGUUGCAGUUAAAAAGCUCGUAGUUGAAUUUCGGGAUCAGUACGCUGGUCGUGCCUUCGGUAUGUACUGGUGUUACUGGUUCCUACCUUCUGACGAACCGUCAUGUCAUUAAUUUGGUGUGGCGGGAAAUCAGGACUGUUACUUUGAAAAAAUUAGAGUGUUUAAAGCAGGCUCGCGCUUGAAUACAUUAGCAUGAAAUAAUGAAAUAGGACGUUCGAUCCUAUUUUGUUGGUUUCUAGGAUUGACGUAAUGAUUAAUAGGGAUAGUUGGGGGCAUUAGUAUUCAAUUGUCAGAUGUGAAAUUCUUGGAUUUAUUGAAGACUAACUACUGCGAAAGCAUUUGCCAAGGAUGUUUUCAUUAAUCAAGAACGAAAGUUAGGGGAUCGAAGACGAUCAGAUACCGUCGUAGUCUUAACCAUAAACUAUGCCGACUAGGGAUCGGAUGAUGUUAUUUUUAAUGACUCAUUCGGCGCCUUACG
rnacentral:misc_RNA from 1 species